GACGAACGCUGGCGGCGUGCUUAACACAUGCAAGUCGAGCGGUAAGGCCCUUUCGGGGGUACACGAGCGGCGAACGGGUGAGUAACACGUGGAUGACCUGCCCUCAGCUCUGGGAUAAGCCUGGGAAACCGGGUCUAAUACCGGAUAUGACUCCAUGACGCAUGUUGUGGGGUGGAAAGCCUUGUGCGGCUGAGGAUGGGCCCGCGGCCUAUCAGCUUGUUGGUGGGGUGANGGCCUACCAAGGCGACGACGGGUAGCCGGCCUGAGAGGGCGACCGGCCACACUGGGACUGAGACACGGCCCAGACUCCUACGGGAGGCAGCAGUGGGGAAUCUUGCGCAAUGGGCGAAAGCCUGACGCAGCGACGCCGCGUGAGGGAUGACGGCCUCGG
rnacentral:rRNA from 1 species